UAUGUUAUUGCAGAUUUUAAAAUAAUCUUCUUAACGUUUGAUUUUUUGACAGAGCUCAUAAGAGGACUCGCAGCAUAGUGGAGAGGGGAAUAGGGCAACUCAAGCGGCGUUUUCAUGUGUUGCAUGGAGAAGUUAGAUUAACCCCAGAAAAAACAUGCAAGGUGAUCACAUGUUGUGCAGUUUUGCACAACAUAUGCAAGUUGCGAAACAUCCCCUUGCCUGAUGGUGAAUCGAUUGACCCAGAUGACGGCGACCAACCACAGAUUGUGCCACAGUUGUCUGGACAUAACCUGAUUUACAGGGAUCACUUUGCCAACACUCACUUCUAGGGUAAGGCAAAUUAUUGGAUAUUUUCAUCAACAUGACAGUAAAAGAUUUAGUAC